rnacentral:rRNA from 1 species
AUUGAACGCUGGCGGCAUGCCUUACACAUGCAAGUCGAACGGCAGCACGGGAGCAAUCCUGGUAGCGAGUGGCGAACGGGUGAGUAAAGUAUCGGAACGUGCCCAGUCGUGGGGGAUAACGUAGCGAAAGUUACGCUAAUACCGCAUACGAUCUAUGGAUGAAAGCGGGGGAUCGCAAGACCUCGCGCGAUUGGAGCGGCCGAUAUCAGAUUAGGUAGUUGGUGGGGUAAAGGCUCACCAAGCCGACGAUCUGUAGCUGGUCUGAGAGGACGACCAGCCACACUGGGACUGAGACACGGCCCAGACUCCUACGGGAGGAAGCAGUGGGGAGUUUUGGACAAUGGGCGAAAGCCUGAUCCAGCCAUGCCGCGUGCAGGAUGAAGGCCUUCGGGUUGUAAACUGCUUUUGUACGGAACGAAAAGGUUUGGCCUAAUAAGCUGAGCUCAUGACGGUACCGUAAGAAUAAGCACCGGCUAACUACGUGCCAGCAGCCGCGGUAA